rnacentral:rRNA from 1 species
UACGUAGGCAGCGAGCGUUGUUCGGAGUUACUGGGCGUAAAGGGUGCGUAGGCGGUUUUCCAAGUUUGGUGUGAAAUCUCCCGGCUUAACUGGGAGGGUGCGCCGAAAACUAGGAGACUUGAGUACCGGAGAGGUAAGCGGAAUUCCUGGUGUAGCGGUGAAAUGCGUAGAGAUCAGGAGGAACACCUGUGGUGUAGACAGCUUACUGGACGGUCACUGACGCUGAGGCACGAAAGCGUGGGGAGCGAACAGG